rnacentral:rRNA from 1 species
UAAUGCCUACGGGAGGCAGCAGUAGGGAAUAUUGCUCAAUGGGGGAAACCCUGAAGCAGCAACGCCGCGUGGAGGAUGACACUUUUCGGAGCGUAAACUCCUUUUGUUAGGGAAGAAUAAUGACGGUACCUAACGAAUAAGCACCGGCUAACUCCGUGCCAGCAGCCGCGGUAAUACGGAGGGUGCAAGCGUUACUCGGAAUCACUGGGCGUAAAGGACGCGUAGGCGGAUUAUCAAGUCUCUUGUGAAAUCCUAUGGCUUAACCAUAGAACUGCUUGGGAAACUGAUAAUCUAGAGUGAGGGAG